AACUUUAAGAACAGAUACUUGUCCAGCAAAGCAUCACUGAAGGACAAUUUCAGGGAGAGCAAGAUCUCUUGACCUCUUAUGUCCACACAAGAUGACCUUUGAUUAUCACCUUCCAUCUCCAGGACUCUUCUGGCCCCACAACUUGAAAAAAAAAACUUCCUCCAACAUGGAUACUUGAAGGAGAGUCAGAAAGAGUUAACAUCUGUAUUUUGUAUGAAUUUAAGCAUGUGGUAUUUUGAGAGAUCUAUAGUGUUCUGCCCCUCACUGAACAUUUUGGGAGGAAAUCAACUCAUGCAUUUUAAUAUAAAAACUUCAAGAGAGAAGGUUCAUCAAAGGAAAAUAAGACUGGAAAUUCAGAAAGUUCAGAAACUUGCCCUUUCUAAACAGUUCCACUGAAAUACAUGAGAAUUCCUCUGAAACAUAAGCAGGG